rnacentral:lncRNA from 1 species
GUAUAUCACCAACAAUAUCCCAAACUAGAGGAAAGAUACAUAUUAUCAUGAAGAAGGGAUCAACGCUGUCGAGAAACAAGAUAUUUGAGGUUAAGAAGGCGAAAUUAGCACUGGUGAGGUCCCAACAAAAUACUGGAUCAAGAUAAUAGGGCAUCAACACUACCAAUGAUCGAGAUAUAAAGAGAGUCAAGCCCAGUCAACUAAAGGGAUUUGUCAUCAAUAUGUCAAGGCAAAGAUGAAGUAUGAAGAAUCAGCGUCGUUCAAGUAUCUGACAAAACGCCUGACAAAAGCUGCUAGUUAGUUAUUAUUAGUAUUGUUAGCUAAAGGGAUUUAGGCAAGGACAUGCAGCGUACGUGAAUCACAGAGUGUUACCAUUUUACCC